AGAAGCUCAGGGACAGUGCCCAGGCCCUGAGUUCAAGCCCCACCGCUGACAGAGGAAAAAAGAAAUCAGCUCUCCUGUGGGUAAUGAUAGCCUAGAACAGUCCGGAAAUGCCACUGUGCUCCCCGUCCUGAUACUAGUGCCUUGGAUGAGGUGGAAAAGCUCAGGGAUGGGAUAGGAGCGUGACAACUCUGUACCUGUCACAGCCACCACCGUGUGCGAGCCUACACACGCUCAACGAAAUCAAGUUGACAGGUGGCAGACUAACCUGGCCCUGUGGCUGCCCUGGGCAUCCUGGACUGGAGAAAACACUCGGAGCAUCUCCCAACGCCACCACACCGCACCUCCUCGGCCAUUUCUGUCAUGCAAUGCCCGCGCUGGACAGCAGGCCGGCCCUCCACGGUACCCCACAUGGAGAUUCCAGGGGGGACAGGGGAGAAGAACAGAUUCACAUACCAGGAGACCUAAUCGUGAUUGAUUUUUUCCAAACAAGGCAAUCUGUCAAAAUGUGGACCUCAGGGCCUCUUCUUUCCCCCUGGGAUCCCUAUUGCUCAUAACCAGGCAGAAAAUUCUAGAACACGACAGAGCAGUGGACUCAAGAGACCCACAUGUGACUCUUAGCUCUGGCCCAAGAGUCUUGGAUCUUUGAGAUCCAAGUACUCGAGGCAGGGUGCCACACUGGCCAAAGCUGGAAGAACUGCCCUACCUCCAAGUUUGGCACAAGGACUGAGUUUGAAUCCCAUGAGCACCAUCUGUGAUAACCGUUAACACCACGGGACUUUUACCUAGGCGCGAAGAGGGAAAGAGGUCAUGGGGACAUGGAGAAAAAUACUUGAUGGCUUUCCCAAUAUGCCAACACUCCAGCACUGCUCAUUGUGUCAAGGGACCGCCAUCUUGGUUUCCCCAACACGUUCCCAGUUUACAGAGUUCCACAGCCUGAAAACCAGGUCAAAAUGGACACAAGGUCUCCCCUACUCUUUCCAACUGUGACCCAUGCCCAGAUGACUCCAGAG